UACAGAGGUCCCGAGCGUUGUUCGGAUUUAUUGGGCGUAAAGGGUGCGUAGGCGGCGGAGUAAGUUGGGUGUGAAAUCCCGAGGCUCAACCUCGGAAUUGCAUUCAAUACUGCUUCGCUCGAGUACUGGAGAGGAGGCUGGAAUUUACGGUGUAGCAGUGAAAUGCGUAGAUAUCGUAAGGAAGGCCGGUGGCGAAAGCGAGCCUCUGGACAGUUACUGACGCUGAUGCACGAAGGCCAGGGGAGCAAAACGGGG
rnacentral:rRNA from 1 species